rnacentral:rRNA from 1 species
CCUACGUGGGGCAGCAGUGGGGAAUAUUGCACAAUGGGCGAAAGCCUGAUGCAGCAACGCCGCGUGAAGGAAGAAGGCCUUCGGAUUGUAAACCCCUGUCAUGUGGGAGCAAAUUAAAAAGAUAGUACCACAAGAGGAAGAGACGGUUAACUCUGUGCCAGCAGCCGCGGUAAUACAGAGGUCUCAAGCGUUGUUCGGAAUCACUGGGCGUAAAGCGUGCGUAGGCUGUUUCGUAAGUCGUGUGUGAAAGGCGCGGGCUCAACCCGCGGACGGCACAUGAUACUGCGAGACUAGAGUAAUGGAGGGGGAACCGGAAUUCUCGGUGUAGCAGUGAAAUGCGUAGAUAUCGAGAGGAACACUCGUGGCGAAGGCGGGUUCCUGGACAUUAACUGACGCUGAGGCACGAAGGCCAGGGGAGCGAAAGGGAUUAGAUACCCCGGUAGUC